UUUGACAAAUAAACCCUAAUAGGCAGAUGAAUGGGCAAAGCGCCUGCUUUAUCGUCCUUUUGUUCUUCAUUUAUUGGCUAUGCUGCAAACAGCAUAUAUGGGCUUUUAGCUCUUCAUUAAAUAUAAUAUUUAGCGGCUUAGGUGAAUUCUAUGGUUUCGAAAAUGGAUUUGACUGUUUGAAGGAAUGAAUCGCUCAUUGUCGUCUCCAGAUAGUGAUUACUUGUUCAUUUUAGCUGGCUUUGAAGAUAUUGAUCCUACCAUUGGUGUGAUUAGGCCUAAAAAGAUAUUGCAGCUAUUAAAGCAAGAAGGAAAAUCAAGGGGCGCUGUGACAAAUCAAGUACGCAAAGGCAGUUUGACUUACUCAAAAAAUCAUCGUGUUGGAACAAUCAACUUUUACCAUCUGCAUCAGGCUAGAAAAGGCUGUUAAAAUUGGUUCAUUUCAGAUGGCUUAGGUUCGGGUUAAAAAAAAUUCUUGGUUCCUUUGCGAGGUUUGCUAGAAAUUAUAUAUUUCCACAUGUUUGUUUCAGAUUUCAUUUGAAUAUCAUCACAAAGCAACACCUUGUUCAAGUAAACACUUUACCACAAAAGAAUGGACCAAGUUUUGAGGAUUGUGCUCUCUGGAUCAAUCUUGAGGGGACAUCAUCAAAUGUCGCUUUGCAGACAUUGCUCCAUCUUAUAUGCUCCUACAAUGAUCAUGAAGAUUGUAAACUUGUUGUCAAUAAUAUGGAUGAUGAGGUUGAGCAGGUUUCAAUAGAAUGAGUCUGGUGUUGAAUCAAUGAUCACAAGGAAACAAAGUUACGAUCUUGUUGGAUUCUUUUUUUUAUCCAGCUAACCCCAACAUUAAUGGAAGAGAAUUGACUCGAAGGUGAUUUAAAAGAGAUCUAGACAUAACUUGGAACUUAUACUCAAGAUCCAUUGGGACAAAAGAGGAGUCCAGAAAAAAUUUAUCAAAGCGCUUCGAGAUCGAUGGCGGAAACAAUGGUGAGUAGGUAAUCAUGGAGCCAAUUACAGGAGCUUUACCAAGAUAAUCUAAACUAAGAGAAAAUUUAAGUCAUCUAAUGAUGCCUUGCAUCUCAUUGUGUACUUGUUUCUGUUGUAAAGAUCCUAUUGUCCCAUGCUCUUGCAAAUAUGUAGAUAAUAACAUGUCCCUUCGUUGUGAAAUGGACCGUGAACAUUAACUCCAUGCAGAAGUAGUCUAUUACAAGUAAACUUCCCUUAGGCUUAUUGAAUUAUUAACAUGGCAUAAAAAUAUUUCCUUCUUGUAGUCUCCAAAUGAAGUCUUCUUUGUGUGUGUAAUUUCUUUUUUAUAUGUUUGGCUAUUUCAAGGC